rnacentral:rRNA from 1 species
GCCGCCGCGGUAAUACGUAGGGGGCGAGCGUUGUCCGGAAUGACUGGGCGUAAAGGGCGCGUAGGCGGCCUGUUAAGUUAGAGGUGAAAGUCCUGCUUUCAAGGUGGGAAUUGCCUUUAAUACUGAUGGGCUUGAGUGCGGAAGAGGUAAGUGGAAUUCCCAGUGUAGCGGUGAAAUGCGUAGAGAUUGGGAGGAACACCAGUGGCGAAGGCGACUUACUGGGCCGUAACUGACGCUGAGGCGCGAAAGCGUGGGGAGCGAACAGGAUUAGAUACCCC